CGCCACGCUGCCGCGCAGAGCUGGCACAGCCGGCACCGAGCCCAGCGCCGCCGGGAGGGUCUGGACACCACUCUCCAGCCGCGGCCAUCCCUCCCACAGGGCUGGCUGGGCUGCCCCAUCUCUGCAGCAAGCAGAGGCACUGAGGGCAAAUGGAGAUGUCGCUGCUGGAUUUAGGCAGAUAGAGAAGCUGAGCUGAUGUUCUCCACUACGCCCUCAAUGAGAUGGAGCGGGAGGUACAUGCCCACCCUGAUGCCUUCGGGACGAGAGGUAGAGGAGCUCAGCCACCACCCAAGGAUGGCCUCUUCUUCACACGUGCAGGAAACAAAGUCAGGGGAGGCCAUGGGCACACGGAAAGGAUAAAUUCAAAACCUGACGUCCUGCAGAUCAAGUCACAGCAGAAGCAGCACAUGGGGACACCUGCAUGGCAGCCAGGACUCUUAUCCCACUGCCUUCUGAGAAAGCCUCCAAAUUUCUCCUUAUCCCAUAACUGACAGUGGCAGUGCAGUACACUGGAUUUUGCCAUAACAGCUCUAAGUCCAUUUUCUCAUACAAUACAUGGCAACAAGUGCUGGUUUGCGAUACUAUCUUUUUAAAUAGCUUUUCCAAGUUGUGCCCAUCCUUUCUACCAUUAUUAAAGUUUUUGGCUGUUCCA